AUUUUUUAUUUUUAGAUUCUGCUACCCUGAGAGCAGAGCCUGAUUUCCUGGAAAUCAGGAAAUCAGGCUCUGCUCUCAGGGCAGGA